rnacentral:rRNA from 1 species
UACCAGCACCCCGAGUGGUCGGGACGUUUAUUGGGCCUAAAGCAUCCGUAGCCGGUUCUGCAAGUCUUCCGUUAAAUCCACCUGCUUAACAGAUGGGCUGCGGAGGAUACUACAAGGCUAGGAGGCGGAAGAGGCAAGCGGUACUCAGUGGGUAGGGGUAAAAUCCUCUGAUCCAUUGAAGACCACCAGUGGCGAAGGCGGCUUGCCAAUACGCGCUCGACGGUGAGGGAUGAAAGCUGGGGGGAGCAAACAGGAUUAAGAAACCCGGG